UACGUAGGGUGCGAGCGUUGUCCGGAAUUAUUGGGCGUAAAGAGUUUGUAGGCGGUUUGUCGCGUUUGCUGUGAAAAUCCGGGGCUCAACCCCGGACUUGCAGUGGGUACGGGCAGACUAGAGUGUGGUAGGGGAGACUGGAAUUCCUGGUGUAGCGGUGAAAUGCGCAGAUAUCAGGAGGAACACCGAUGGCGAAGGCAGGUCUCUGGGCCACUACUGACGCUGAGAAGCGAAAGCAUGGGGAGCGAACAGG
rnacentral:rRNA from 1 species